UCUCCCAACACCACAAAUUACAAGCUGAUACACGGUUGGGAGCAGAUCCCUCUCCUACCCUCUCCUCUUUGGUUAAUAAUCACAGCUACCGUUGAUGGAGCUGGACGCUCAAGAGCAGGGCUGGACGCUCCAUCUACCUUACCUUAUUUGGUCUUAGAACGAUCCUAUGAGGUGCCCCUCCAGGUCCUCCCCGGUGCUUCAACUUUUGACACCAGUCUGAAGUUUAAAUCUCAUGUCUUGCCUGUGUGACCCGGAUGAAGAGUCCCUUCACCUCUCUUGGCUGUAUUUCGUGCCUUCAUGAAGAGAAGGCAAGUCCUUGAUCUCAAGCUCUGAAAACAUCGGACAUGGGAGCAAAGGGGCAAAGGGACUUAGGCAGCAGGGAAGCUGGACCUCAUAAUCAAGGGCACGGGAACCUUUGGCCUUGGUGGCUUUUAUUUUGUAAAGUUUACUCUCUGCCUCGACGAUUCUUCUCCAGGAUAUCAAGGACCGCAUUUUCUUCCCCUGGAAUAUUUGAUACGGGAUCAAAAGACAGAACAGCUUCAAGAACAUUUUUCUGCAACCUGCAAAGGACUCUUGUGAUGACCAGAAGUUUUAGCAGCACCAAGUUCCAGCAAACUGCUAUACUGAUACCAAAUGUCACUCAACUCCCGUGGCUGCUGCCUUCUCCCUGGACAGAACCUCCUUACCAAACAAUAAGGCCAUGAAAACAACCUGCUGUCAAUGUCUUUCGGGGCAUCUUUGACCUUGAAUGUCCCUCUGGCCAGGGCUCAGUUGUGUCAGGAGCUGGCAUGCAACACUGAUCUUGCAGACACCAUGCACAGACAGGUGGGCAGAGCUGCAGGUCACCGUCCAAGACAGCCACCAACUCCUGCUUCCUGCAGCCUGGUCUGUAUGCCAGGAUUCCACUCGGCCCCGGAAGCUGGGGGCCCCGUUGGCAGCCAGCCAGCCCCUGGCACCUUAAUGUGGCCUGUUCCACCUGGCUGCAUGCCCCCUGCUUUCAAAGAGCCCCAGCCAAUCACUCUGCAAGACCUGGCCUCCUUGUAAUUUCCAAUUUGUGACAAAUGUAAAAAUAGAAGGCCAUUCGAUGCAGGCGGCUCGCAUCAAAUUGGAUGCCACUUUCGUGUCAUGUCAGAUCACAGUAAACAGAGCUGAUGACUUCGUCGGCCACUCUCAAUGACUUCUGGAGCAGUGAGAGGGUGGUGACAAAUUGUGGGACACCUAAGAGUUGGGGAAAGGUGGCUGGGUGCACAAUAUUAAAACCAGCUUCAAGUGAAUUUGAAGUCUAGCUCACAAAUAUGCUGUGAGAGGCAGGGCACCCGAGUGCAGAUCCCAGUUCUACACCUUAGCAGCGGAGGGACCUUGGGCACAACUCAUCUCUCCAUGCCCUGGCUUCCCCCAAAGAACACCACCACCCUCCCAGAGCUGUGGCCAAGCUCAACUGUUGGAAAACAAAGGGGGAGUGCUUUCUAACUGUGCAGCUCCAUAAAUGGGGCGUGUGGU